rnacentral:rRNA from 1 species
UACGUAGGUGGCAAGCGUUGUCCGGAAUUACUGGGCGUAAAGCGCACGUAGGCGGCUUUGUAAGUUAGAGGUGAAAGCCCGGGGCUCAACUCCGGAACUGCCUUUAAGACUGCAUCGCUAGAAUUGUGGAGAGGUGAGUGGAAUUCCGAGUGUAGAGGUGAAAUUCGUAGAUAUUCGGAAGAACACCAGUGGCGAAGGCGACUCACUGGACACAUAUUGACGCUGAGGUGCGAAAGCGUGGGGAGCAAACAGG